UACGAAGGGGGCUAGCGUUGCUCGGAAUCACUGGGCGUAAAGCGCACGUAGGCGGAUCUUUAAGUCAGGGGUGAAAUCCCGGAGCUCAACUCCGGAACUGCCUUUGAUACUGGGGAUCUUGAAGUCCGGAAGAGGUGAGUGGAAUCCGAGUGUAGAGGUGAAAUUCGUAGAUAUUCGGAAGAACACCAGUGGCGAAGGCGGCUCACUGGACCGGUAUUGACGCUGAGGUGCGAAAGCAUGGGGAGCAAACAGGG
rnacentral:rRNA from 1 species